rnacentral:rRNA from 1 species
UACGAAGGGAGCAAGCGUUGUCCGGGUUUAUUGGGCGUAAAGAGCGUGUAGGCGGCCAGAUAGGUCCGUUGUGAAAACUGGAGGCUUAACCUCCAGACGUCGAUGGAAACCGUCUGGCUAGAGUCCGGAAGAGGAGAGUGGAAUUCCUGGUGUAGCGGUGAAAUGCGCAGAUAUCGGGAGGAACACCUAUGGCGAAGGCAGCUCGCUGGGACGUUACUGACGCUGAGACGCGAAAGCGUGGGGAGCAAACAGG